ACACGACUACAUUAGAUACCCCGGUAGUCCUAGCCGUAAACGAUACUCGCUAGGUGUCGGCCACGGUGCGACCGUUGUCGGUGCCGUGGGAAGCCGUGAAGCGAGCCACCUGGGAAGUACGGCCGCAAGGCUAGAAACUUAAAGGAAUUGGCGGGGGAGCACAACAACGGGUGGAGCUUGCGGUUUAAUUGGAUUCAACGCCGGAAAUCAUACCGGGACCGACAGCAACAUGAAGGCCAAGCUGAAGACUUUGCCGGAUUAGCUG
rnacentral:rRNA from 1 species